rnacentral:lncRNA from 1 species
GUUUGAUUGUGUUACCUUGUUUGCUCAAUGUUGCCAAAAUCUCGAUACUGAAAACGUGUAAAAUGCAUUUAAAACGUAUAAUAUUCGGCAAAUCGCUAUUACCGAGUCUGCUCAUUUAUCUUAUCAAUCGUUUUGGUUAUUCAAGCAUCGUUUAUGGCAAGUUCGAAGCUUUUUAUCUUUCAUUAUUGACCGUUUUGACUUUCCGUUUCCGACCGCCAUUUGUACUGAUGAAAAGACAACUCUGUCAAUCGACGAACGACUACUCUUUUUCAAUGUACAAUAAUUUAUAUGAACCACAGAUACGUUGUUAAUUCAAAACACUGUUAAAUUUGAUAAGAGCCAUUAUCAAAC